UCCUUGUGACACUCUAGGAUGAAGAGCAAAGAGGUUGGCACAAAGCCAGAAAACAACAGGAUGCCACAGACUUGUCGUCACCAGUUGCCUCUGAUACAAGAGAUCUCUGAAAGCUGUGACUGUAUUUAAUGGAAGAAGAUACUUCUCAAUAUACUCCCCUGCUAAUUUCAGCACCAGAACUAAACGUCAUGGGCAAGAUCAUCUCUGCAGUGGCAAAAAAGGAUCACCAAGGCAAUCAAAAUGUAGAGCUGAGUGAUAUGGCAUAAAUAUAACAUUACGAUACAUGACACAUAUCACAGUAUUCAUUUUUCUGAUGAGGCUGUUCUUUUUACUUUUAUUUGUGUA